GACGAACGCUGGCGGCGUGCUUAACACAUGCAGGUCGAGCGGUAAGGCCCUUUCGGGGGUACACGAGCGGCGAACGGGUGAGUAACACGUGGGUGACCUGCCCUCAGCUCUGGGAUAAGCCUGGGAAACCGGGUCUAAUACUGGAUAUGACUCCAUGACGCAUGUUGUGGGGUGGAAAGCCUUGUGCGGCUGAGGAUGGGCCCGCGGCCUAUCAGCUUGUUGGUGGGGUGAUGGCCUACCAAGGCGACGACGGGUAGCCGGCCUGAGAGGGCGACCGGCCACACUGGGACUGAGACACGGCCCA
rnacentral:rRNA from 1 species